rnacentral:rRNA from 1 species
AGGACGAACGCUGGCGGCGCGCUUAACACAUGCAAGUCGAGCGAGAACCGGGGCUUCGGCCCUGGGGACAGCGGCGAACGGGUGAGUAACACGUGGGUAAUCAACCCUCGGCACCGGGAUAGCCCGGGGAAACCCGGAUUAAUACCGAAUAGCCUCCGGAGCCCUCGGGCGCCGGAGAAAAGGUAGCUUCGGCCUCUGGUCAAGGAUGAGCCCGCGGCGGAUUAGCUUGUUGGCGGGGUAAUGGCCCACCAAGGCGACGAUCCGUAGCUGGUCUGAGAGGACGAUCAGCCACACUGGGACUGAGACACGGCCCAGACUCCUACGGGAGGCAGCAGUGGGGAAUAUUGCGCAAUGGGCGAAAGCCUGACGCAGCGACGCCGCGUGAGGGAUGACGGCCUUCGGGUUGUAAACCUCUUUCAGCUCCGACGAAUUCAGACGGUAGGAGCAGAAGAAGCACCGGCUAACUACGUGCCAGCAGCCGC